UGUGGUUAGCGGAGGAGGAGAAUGGAACAGCCUAUUGUUGUGUAGGAUGUAGGCGCUGAUCGAGACUAGUGUGAGAAGUCAGUGCUUCAAUCAUGACCACGGAUGUACAAGGACGUACUUUUACUCCAACAUGAAUUUACUCUGUUUUUCUGUGAUUCUACUUGUUGCCUGCGCCGAUUCCGAAGCACCGGUGUGCUGCUCGAAGCUGGGACGACACACAACAUGCAAGUACUACUGUCAGCAGUUGCUGAGAGAGGGGACGUAUGUCCAGCAGAUGAAGCAGGUGUUGACGGCAGCGGAGCACUGUCCCUAUGACCUGGAUGAGUUUUGGCAGUGUGUCAACAUCAGUGUCCCAGUGAUGCGGCAACUGGAACAGUGGUCGGGACGACCUUGUUGUGACCUCGCGAUGACCUCCGCUUGCAAGCAGACAUGUCAAAGGGCCCACUCCAUGAAGGACAUCGACUCCACCCACUGCGAUCGGAACACGGAGAAGUCACUCUAUAAAUGUCUACACCGACACAGCGUGGGAAACAAGUGUUGUCAUCAGUCAGUGCGGGACAGCUGCAGCAUCGUCUGUCACAGCUUCUUCCUGUUGGGGUCAACGACGGCCAGAGCAAACCGUGACGUGGUGUACCGACAUUGCAAGGGGGGAAGUCUGCCAGUGGCCAAGUGUGUCCAGAACCAGACCCGCUCGGCCAGAGCCAGCAUCCCUCAAGACAACAUACCUUGCUGUCAGAAAGCCAAAACGCAGAAGUGCCAAGAGGAGUGUGAGAGAGUGUUGAAGACGUCCUUGACGGAUGACGAGAUGGUAGAGGCCCUCAUCAAAACCUGUGACUCCCCAGACAUGCGGGAUCCCUUGUGGCAGUGUUUCCUGUCUCCCCCAGUUACCAAGAAGAAUGAGACCCAGCCUGCCACCGCCUUCGAUAGUGCAAGACUCCAGUGCUGUGCCAAAGCAUCUUCGGAUCGCUGUAGGGAGCUUUGCACACAUACGUACACAAAGAGCUGGACGAAGCACGGAUCCGAGUUUGACAAGAGUUGUUCGUUUAUCCAGCCUGUCUCUGUACUGGAGGCCCCCAUGCACAACUGUCUGCAUGAUGUUGAUGAACCCUGCAAACUUGGGUGCAGCCAGCUGGAGUUCUGCACCAACUUCAACUUCCGUCCAACCGAGCCCUUCCGGUCGUGCACCAGGUCAGCGGACGAGAGUGCACGCAAGACGAUCGAGAUCUGGCAGAAGGGGAUCAUCUCCCUGCCCCAGAUGACCAUCCCAGUCAAAGAUAUCCGUGAGUGUGAGCCGGAGUUGUGGAAGGCCAUCGCUUGUGCUGUUCAGAUCAAACCCUGCCACUCCAAGCCCAGCCCUAUCUCAAUCUGUCAGGAGGACUGCAUCUACAUCCUCAACAAGUGCGUGGACUACACACGUCUCAACAGCGACCAGAGCGUACCCCAGCUGUGUCACCCGCUGCCUAAACUCUCGGACCCAGGGGCCUGCACGUCAGUCACCAGAUACCUCACGGAAAGUGAGCAUGUGUCGAAGUCGUGGGAGGUGACCAGCCCGUGUCGCCCCAACCCGUGUCGGUCUCGGGAGCUGUGUCUUGUCCGCCGCAGGAAGUGUAAACACAAGGACAAUUGCAAACCUUAUAUAUGUAAAUCAGCCUGCCUGCUGGGACACGUGUCCAGCUUCCUUGUCCCCCACGGAGCCUACGUCCGGAUCCCGGACCAGCAGACUAGCACGCGCAGCCAGCAGUGCUUCAAGGCGUGCCGCUGCGGCCACCGCAGGGAGGUCGGCAACUGCUCUCCCCUCACAUGCUUGCAGAACAAGAACUGCAACAUGGGACCCGGACAUAUCAAAGAUCAUGGCAGCCAUUUUGUGGUUGAUGGAAGCAACUGUAUCUGCAACGCUGGUCACCUGAUCUGUGCCCGCCGGACAUGCUCAGUGGACCCUGGUCUCACGGCCGGUCACUACACAGGCAUGCCAGGCAACUGCCCUGCCACCUACCAGCCGAUGUGUGGAGGAAACGGAAAGACUUUCCCCAACGCCUGCCUCGCCAAGUGUGCGGGACUACAGGAGAGUGAUCUACAGAUUGGCGUGUGCAGCACCAUCGACCCGUGUCAGAAUGAUCCAUGUGGGGAGGGGCUUAGAUGUGUUGCUAGGCGACAAGUCUGCAUCACCGGGAAGAACUGUCUACAACACGAGUGCAUUCCUGCAACCGACUUCAACAACUGCAACAACCACAUCCACGACCCUGUGUGCAACACUCACGGAGAGGAGUUCACCAAUGCCUGUCUCCUGUACUCCCACGGACGGAAACUAGCCUAUAGGGGGCACUGUAUGACGAACUGUGCAGAUUCGGGUACCGUGUGCGGCCACAACGGGGAGACCUACCCCAGCGAGUGCGCUGCUUUGGCCGACCGUGUUACCAUGGACUACCGCGGGGAGUGCCGCGCCUUCGGGAACCUCACAGCUAAUUCACCGAAGACAAGCACCUGCGCCCACAUCAAGUGUCCAGAGCUUCGACCAAAACACUGUCACGGAGUUACACCUCCUGGCGCCUGUUGCCCUAUCUGUGCCGCCGAGCUCCAAGCGCUGUUUGACCCGCGAGUAGCUGAGUUUGCUGCCAAGGAGAUGGGUGGUGGUCCUAUGAGUGUCACUGUCCUCCUCAACAUGCUGUCCGACCACCUGAUGGUAGCAGAGUGCGAUGUGUUUGGAUAUCUUGGUGUAGAUGGCGCUCUCAUCAUCCUCAUCGCCCCGGUAACGCAGGACCCAACAGAACUCCAGGUUGAAGCUUGCAUUAGCGAAGCUCGGAGGUUGGAGGAUCUCAUUCGAACAGGAAGUCCGACGCUGAUGUCCUACCUGACCUUGACCCCUUUACUCCUUGCCCCAAUGAGAGCUCCGCGUCUCGGCCGUGUCAACACUGCAGCCAUCUUGUCUCCUGCCUCCUUAUCAGUUCUGGUUGCCAUGACAAUACUAACAUUAAUAGUCACACGAACAAAGUUGUGAUGACUCUAAGAAUCUCAAAAAUUCUAUUUUUGUUUCCAUGUUUGAAAAAAUACAACAUUAUUUGAAGUUGUGACCAUGAUGCCAACAAACAAUGUUGCUAAGCAACCAUCUAAACGACACCUGGUGUUUUUUAUUGAAGGUGUUUCUUCUUUAGCCUUGUCCAUUUCUUGGAGGAAUGGAUGAUGAAAAAAUUCUGGUCAAAGACAAAUGUGAUCUAUAGUUAAGGGUCUGUUUGGGAGAAAAACUUACACAGCAAGUUGAAGGAAACAGUUCAUCAAUGGAGAAAACCCUAACAGACCCUCUGAAAAAGGUUACCUUAAGGAUCUGCACAUUCAAAUUCAGGGAUUAGAGUCAUGUGAAGCUUGCCAUAUAUUAAAAUGGUGGGCUGUCAUGUGAAAAACAUUCACAUUUUGUAAAAUGUGUUCAGUCAGAGAAAGGGCACUAGUACAAGUGGUGACAGUUUUGUAGCUUUAGAGGAGAAAUACAGCGUUCUUUGAACACCGUAAGAAGAUGUUGUGCCAAAACAGGACCUUUCGGGACGAUGUCCUGCAGUGUGGCAAAAUGACGAAUCUUCCGCUCUGGACUUCGAAACAAGUUGUCAUGUGAAAUUGUCAUGUGACUCUACAAAUGGUCGUGUGAAUCGCCAAGUUACAUUGUCAUGAGACAUUAAGUAGUCGUGUUACACAAGUGACCAGGCGACAUUUAUGAACUCAGUCAUAUGACUCUUCAAGUGGUCAUGUGAUGUUUCUGUGUGAAGGUUGUUGGGGAUGUAGAAUGAUUGGAAGUGAUAGUAGUUCUCAGGAGGCGUCAUAUGGCCUCACAUACCCCUACACUGGAGAUAUUGCUAUAACGAUAUAUUGCGAUGUACCAAAGGUCUCCUUAACGAGAAGCUAUACUCUAGAGGUAGCUGUUGACCGUCAGUAUGUGAUAUUUCAGUCUGUGUGCUCGUUCUGUAUUAUGGGAUGUAUAUAUGUCUUUACUUUCCGUCGUAGUGGCAUAUUUAGUGCUAUGAGGAGUUGUCUCCCCUUACCCCACAUUAAAUUUGAUGUCAUUUAUUUUAUUUUUUUAGAAUUAUUUUUUUUAUACAUUUUGAUUUUUUUUCAGUUAUUUAUACCAUGUAGCUUCCCUUACUUGACCUGAUACAUUAGUGAGUUAACAUUUUAAAGAUGAACAAUAAAUAACUGUCCCAGCAUCACUGUAUCCCCUGGUGGUAGAUGGUGUAAGGGGAGACAAUUCUACCAUGAUUUAUCUGACUAUGAGAGCAACCCACACCUGUAUUGACCUGUCCCCAUGUUGACAGUAUCUGUUGAAGAAUCAGUAUUCCUAAAACUACUUACCACAUAUCAGAUCUAUGUCUCGGUUGUCAUACGGUUGAUGUGAUCUCUUAAAUUCUACUCCCCUAAGGAAAAUGCAAGAACAACGAAAAAUUGCAUCUCACCUUUAACUCUUGUGUAAUAAUCCUAACCCUAGUAAAUUAUGUUAAUCCUACCCUACUGACUGCUGUGAAUGUGUGAAGUUUGUGUGUGUGAAUGUGUGAAUGUUUCAGGUUUGAGUGUGUGAAUGUGUGUUAGAAAGGUAUAUUCAUUGUUUACUUAGUGUAAUGUACAAAGCAACACCUUUUGCCAUGUUUUUUGUCUUUGUUGCCAUGGUUAUCACUGUUGCUAUGGUUCUUCUUUCUGUAACCAUAGUUUUUUAACCGUUUGCUUUCCAUUAUUCCCAUGGUGACAACCGUUUGUAUUAUGAAAACUGAAUCAAAAUCAACUCUAGUUCUUCUGCACUAGUGGUACUUGCUAAAGUAAUUACCUUAGAUUUUUAAUAACCAUGGUAACAAGGUCAUAGAAUUAGCAGACAUGUAUCAGAGAUAUAUUUUUGUGAAUCUCAUUAGAUUGGUUACCAUGUCAACCUGAAUAUUGGCCAAUGGAAUGCAGUGUAUUGAUCUGAACAGAACUACUUCUAAUGUACGUCACUCCAAUUUGGACAAUUUCAUUUAAUAAUACUUCCAGGAAAACACUGUCCAUUCACAGAAAACUGAAAUCUUUUUAUCAUUUUAAUACAUUGUUUGUGUAAACAAAAGAGUAAUUAAAUAAUGCCAGAGUGUUGUAUGUUGCUGGGAUGACUCACCAUUAGAGAAUAGUUCUGUUCUUGAAUGGCAUAAUUCUAUUUCGGUCGGCGUACCCCCCGGACCCCAGCCUAUGUGUGCUUGUUGCUAUUACUCCUUUUUGUUUGUUGCUUUAUAUUUAUCUUUCAUGAUUUUGUGUUAUUGCAUAAUUUAACCCAAACCAACAGUUCUGGAUACUUGUUACGAUGGUUGUAAGAUUUAUACUUUGUUUUUGAAUCUGUUUUGUUUCAAUCAUUAACGACACCAAAUAUUGCCAAGACUACUAAAAUGCUGCCGCCAAAUGGAUUGUAUCGGUAGUGAUAGACUUAUGAGUGAGUGAGUGUUUUCAGUUUUACUCAGUGUGUAAAUCAUUUAGUAAAACUUCUGCCCGUAACCCCUGCCUCGACAUUUACAAAAAUCCUAACCCUGGCAAGAAGUAUUAAGAAAUUAUUUGUGUAGUGUUUGGGUAAGGGUUAUGUUGCCCUAACCCAGGCAAAAUUUGAAGCAUGGGUUUCGGUCGGAAAUAUUUACAGUCAUUGUAUUUCCUUAUCAUGCCAAAGAUAAUUGCUUGCUCUAGUUCCAAUCAUGCUUUAUAUUUAAAUUCUUGUGUUGGCUUCAAGAUACGUUUUCUGAAGGAUAAACUAUGAAGUGAGACAGCUUGACAAACCACAAUAAUAUUUAAAUAGUUUAGACCAUGGCCUGCCAUGACUCUCAUAGAGUUACCUCCCUUUGCAGUGUUCUGGUCAGCCUGUGCAUGCGUGUGACCUCGGUUUACAACAGUGACUGGCGGCCAGACUGUCACAAGGCAGGGAACUCAUGCUUUGACGCUUUAGUUGUUGACUUUGUCUUACAAAUUGGAAAUGUUCGACUUGUGGUAUUGAAAACUUGCAGUGUACGUUAGACUCACAAAGGUAGCGGUUACUGUUGUGCUUCACAACAAGCAUAAUGUCAGACCAGAGGGUUGUGUGACAUCAAGGGCGACAGGUGGAUCAGAUGUGCCCAGUCCCGACAUGUUUCUUGAAUCUAUAGUCAACAUUUUGUGAGCAUUUGGAACCGGGGCAUAAUGUAAAAAUAUUUCACAGUAGUACAUUGUCAAAUUCUAACAGUCAAAUGCAUUUUGAGCUUUCUAAAUUAAAUGGCAGAUUCCUGGGGUGGGACCUUGAUUUUGUUUAAUAAUUAUACCUGUUAAUUAAUUAUCCACUUUUGACUCCCUUUUGAAAACUGUAAUCCAUCUUUUAUGUUAACUGUUUCUUACGACCCUAACACCUGUUUGGUUUGUCCCCUCCACCCACCUUCUCAUAGUCCUGCCUACUUCUGCUGUAGCUAACUGCCUUGCUGCAAAUACAAUGGCAUGUUGUACAAUCCAAUGGCUUGUUAUAUGACACAACAGUAUGUUGUAUAACACAAUGGCAAUGUUGUACAAUCCAAUGGCAUGUUAUAUGACACAACAGUAUGUUGUAUAACACAAUGGCUAUGUUGUACAGUCCAAUGGUCCUGUUCUACAGGUCAAUGGCAGGUUAUACAACAAUCUUGUAUAACACAGUGGUCAUGUUGUACAAUCCUGUAGUCAUGUUCUACAGGUCAAUGGCAGGUUAUACAACAUGAUGGAAUCUUGACAAUGGUCAUGUUGUACCAUACAAUGGCUUUAUUGUUCAAAGCAAUGGCUGUAUUGUACAACACAGUGACUAUAUUGUACAACACAGUGGCUAUAUUGUUCAACACAGUGACUAUAUUGUACAAAGCAAUGGCUAUAUUGUACAACAGUGACUAUAUUGUACGAAGCAAUGGCUAUAUUGUACAACACAGUGACUAUAUUGUACAAAGCAAUGGCUAUAUUGUACAACAUUGUACUUGUAUUAAGUAUUGUUACCUACCAACUUCUAAAAAUACCAAACAGUUGAUGUUGUACAACACAAUGGCUGUGUUGUACCCCCUGUACAGAUUGCUGUGUACUCAAAGUGCUAUGUUGUGGUUGAGUGAGUGUGCUCACUAUGUCUGUGACAAUCAGUUGAAAUGUAAUUAACCAAGAUGACAAAAAAAAACGAGACAAUUUUUUAUCAGCAUUUUUGUGUCUUUUAUACAUUGUUUUUGUGCUGUUUUUGUUUGUGUGAUAAUUUAUCUUUGGCGCUGCAAGAUAAAUAAACUAAUAGUUGUCUUUUCAUACAUGUACUGUGCAGGGAAUUAUGGCUGGAAGUGGCAUGGGGAAAUAGGAUUGUUGUUGGGACAGGGAAAUAAUAAUAAUAAAUGGGGAAAUAGGAUCCUAGGUGGGAAGGAGAAAUAAUAGUAUAUGGGGAAAUAGGAUCCUAGGUGGGAAGGGGAAAUAAUAAUAUAUCAUGAUAUAUGGGGAAAUAGGAUCCUAGGUGGGAAGGGGAAAUAAUAGAAUAUAGGGGAAAUAGGAUCUUUGUCAGGGAGGUGAAAUAAAAGAUGCUGGACAUAAAAUUUGGUUGGGAAAUAUAGCUGUAACUGGCAUGCGGAAAUACUUCCCUUAUAAGGGAGGUGGAAUUUGGAAUUUGCGGAUAUGUUGUUGUCUGCAUGACGAAAUGUCCUAUGGGCUUGUUAUUUAUAUUUUUUUGCAUUGUGAAAAGGAACAUGGGCAUUAUUACAAUCCGCUGUUUGAAUGUUUUAAAGUUUGUUUAUGGGGUGGGCGGGUACCUGCAUUGUAUGGGGUGGGAGAGCUAUAUUCAGGUGUAAUUUAUUAUGUGUGACAAGGCAUACUGAGCGCAAACUGCUCAGUGUGCGUGUGUUUUGUGGACGUUACAGUCACUGUAUUUAUAAACAUGCAUGGAAUUUUGUUACUGGUAGGACAAAUGGAAUUGGGUUUCCACUGAUUAUAUUUGUUCUCAUUCAAGUGUCAUGUUGUUUGCCAUAACAAGGUGGACAUGGGUUGGUUCAUUGUCAUUCAUUGGGCACAGCCUACUUCAACCCUUGGCCAGGUGACAGAGGCGGAGUUGAAUGAUAGUGUUAAUCUCUCUGUGUAUUGUGUUCAGAUAUGCUCUUGGACUAUUUGUGAUACACACGUGAACACCGACCAACUAGUAUUACCACAAUGUGCAUUCACACAAGUAGGACAACAACUGAGGAAACGUGCCAGACAUUACAAUGGAGAGACUUUGUAAGUUGUACAUGGCAUUGAUAUUCUGUAACCAUGGCAACUGUUGAAUUAUUUCCAUUUAGGAAAAGCCGGCAAUGUGUUCACAUUGGGUAGAUUUUAUCCUGCAUUAGGACCACCACUUAUUGCGUUGUCAUUCUACAAGGCCACAUGUUGCUACAUUAAGCUAAAAAAAAUAAUCGUCUUGGUUCUCAGGCACCACCCACAUCAUCAUUUUCAAUUUGCAGAAAAAAAAUAAAAAUUCUAAUACUUUAAAACAAUUUGAUCCAAUAUAGCACGCAGUUACUUCCCUUUACAAGCGCACUGCUUUACUGCGUAUCUCAUGUUAUGGUCAUGGCGGCAAUUGGAGUUUGUACGCUUGUUUAUGUAGGGAGCAAAAGAAAAUCACCUCCAAACCGCACUAUAUUUUCAAAAGUCAUUGCCUGAGAACCAGUUCUUUUAUUUUUUUAAGCAUUAUCGUCCUUGAUUAUUGUAGGCCUAGUGUGUACAGGAGUGGCUGGAAAGACUAGAGUUUAGAUUAUUGAAAGAUCUACAUAGCUUGGUGAAUUAUUAUCAUCACCAAGUCCUUGUUUUGAAUUCACAUUUCUAAAUCAGUGAGACAGAAUGAACAAACACUUAGCCGGUUGUAGUUUAACGACAUUUGAAAGGUGACUUCCACUACAAGUUGUGUUUCUUGUAAAUGUAUAACAAAGCUGAUAGCAUCUCAUUUGCAUAUGUCUCGGGUUGAGGGGAAAACGCAUGUAUCACAUCCAGGAUCAGGUCAAAAUAUUUCUGGAUUUACAAAACAUCCGAGUCUGCACUUCUCCAGCUGGCGUACACUAUGUUCCCCCAGGGAGGGAUGUAGCAGCACACGCUGGAGAACUGUUGACGAAGAUGUGAUGCUAGUACAGAUUUGUGCAGGUAUUCAGAAUGGUAGUGAGUUAUAGAAGACGCCUGUCACUGAAUGUCAGUCUGAAUGCAUCCAAACUCAUUCUGUCACUGAAUGUCAGUCUGAAUAUAUCCAAACUCAUUCUGGCACUGAAACCCUAGUCAGAUUAAGCCAUGAAUUAAAUUUGAAAUUGCGAUAAAUGUCUUUCCUUUAGACUUAGACUUUAGAUAUUUUGUUAAGUAUUCCUUGAUGGAUUCUUAAGACUUAAUUUGGUUCUUGGUGCAAGGCCUGAUGUGGAACUUUGAAAUAGAAGUAGGGUCUUCGUGCUGAGAUUGUAUGACCCACGUUUUGCAGGUUUAUGUUGUGGUAGAUGCUAAAACUGCAUACUUACAAAAUUGUUGCUAGGAGACUAGGGUUAUCCUAUACUAUAACACAGACCAAGUUGUUGCAAUGUUAUAGUAUAGUCUUAUUGCAACAAUGUUUGGUCAUUUUUGUUAUUAUGUAGGAUAUUACAAAUCUUAGUGCUACAACUGUUGUAAGUCUUUGUUUGGUUAGAGGAGUCUUAUCACUACAACUGUUGUACUCUGUUAAUGUAUGAGAGUUACAUUGGCUUAGUGCUAAGAUUACUUUUUUACGAGUAGGCCCCGGGAGGGUCCCUUGCAACAAGCUAUCUUAGCGCUACAGCUGUAAACUCCCAUACUUUACUAUAGGCUUAUGAAUGUCAUACUGCUAAGAUGGUUUGUGGAACAGGUCCAGGGUGUCCUUUAUACCAAGCUAUCUUAGCGCUAAGGUCAUCGUAACUCCCAUACUUUUAAAUGUGAGCCUCGUUAUGGGAAUAUGCAAAUGAGAUGAGAUCUGGGAGUGAGUGAGUGAGUGAGACGUGGAGUAUUAUCGUGUGUGGUUCCUGUUCUAGUCACGAGUACAGAGGUUACAGUGUAUCGCUAUGCAAGUCGUGCGUCACCUCUGCGUGUUUGUUGCAUUUAUACUUGAUGAUCAUUUGACUUGUGUACAUAGUAAUGUCUGUUUUAUCCUCCAUGUUGCUCCUCACAAUUGUACAGUUCUCGUUAAAACAGGACAAUAAAAUCCAUACAGUUUCUA
rnacentral:misc_RNA from 1 species